rnacentral:snoRNA from 1 species
AAUACUUAAAUGAUGAUUUCAUAGUUCAUCUGAGAACUUUGAUGUAUAUUCCUUGUCUUUCGCUCCUAUCUGAUUAUUUCA